UACGUAGGGCGCAAGCGUUGUCCGGAAUUAUUGGGCGUAAAGAGCUCGUAGGCGGUGUGUCGCGUCGGCCGUGAAAACCCGCAGCUCAACUGUGGGCUUGCAGCCGAUACGGGCGGGCUGGAGUUCGGUAGGGGAGACUGGAAUUCCUGGUGUAGCGGUGAAAUGCGCAGAUAUCAGGAGGAACACCGGUGGCGAAGGCGGGUCUCUGGGCCGAUACUGACGCUGAGGAGCGAAAGCGUGGGGAGCGAACAGG
rnacentral:rRNA from 1 species